rnacentral:rRNA from 1 species
CGGCCGCGGGAUUCUCCACCGUGUUUAGGUAGCAUAAUCACUUGUCUCCUAAAUAGAGACUAGUAUGAACGGCCAAAUGAAGAUUUACCUGUCUCUUGAAGCCUAUCUAUGAAACUGAUCUUUCAGUACAAAAGCUGAAAUUUUAACACAAGACGAAAAGACCCUGUGGAACUUAAAGCCACAGCCAAAAAAAUGGACCUAUUGCUUUUAGUUGGGGCAACUUUGGAAAAAAACAAAACUUCCAAUUAACUAUCUAGGCAGACAUGCCGACAUACAAGAAACUAGAUCCAGUACUACUGAUUAAAGAAAAAAGCUACCCCAGGGAUAACAGCGCCAUCCCCUCUUAGAGUCCCCAUCGACGAGCGGGGUUUACGACCUCGAUGUUGGAUCAGGGC